GGGAGCCCUAGCACAGGUGCUGCAUGGCCGUCGUCAGCUCGUGCCGUGAGGUGUUGGGUUAAGUCCCGCAACGAGCGCAACCCCGCCGUUAGUUGCCAGCGGUUCGGCCGGGCACUCUAACGGGACUGCCCGCGAAAAGCGGGAGGAAGAGGGACGACGUCUGGUCAGCAUGGCCCUUACGGCCUGGGCGACACACGUGCUACAAUGCCCACUACAAAGCGAUGCCACCCGGCAACGGGGAGCUAAUCGCAAAAAGGUGGGCCCAGUUCGGAUUGGGGUCUGCAACCCGACCCCAUGAAGCCGGAAUCGCUAGUAAUCGCGGAUCAGCCAUGCCGCGGUGAAUACGUUCCCGGGCCUU
rnacentral:rRNA from 1 species